CCGCAACGCUACUCUGUUUACCAGGUCAGGUCCGGAAGGAAGCAGCCAAGGCAGAUGACGCGUGUGCCGGGAUGUAGCUGGCAGGG
rnacentral:SRP_RNA from 1 species